CAACAAAGAGAGAGAAAGCGAGAGAAUUUUUGAACUGAAGGAAUUGGUCAUGUGGUUGUGAAUAUGUGAAUCACCAACAGAAAAAUGGUGGGUAAGGGGUGGCGUGGGGAGAUCACGAAGAUCACUAUAAAAAAAUAAAUAAAACCAUGAUUCAAAGGGACUCCAACACACGGGACAGCAAGCCUAGGAUUGGAUGGACGAUAGGUACUCUGUAAUUUGACAUAUUCUUAUUGGUCAAUGAUUGGAUAGGAUGAGGAGUACAUGCACCCAAUUUCAGCUAAUUAUAACUCCCAUUUUUACUUCAAAUUGGGCUGCACUGGCCCCUUUGCUUUGCUGUAAUUAAGGAUCACGUGGCUAACAGAAAGAUUUACAGGUGGCUUUACUAUUUCUUAUCAGUAUCGAUUGUCCUAACUUGAUGUCGAUUCUACAUUCUACUGUUCUAAAAUACUUUCCUUGAAAGAGGGGUUCUUGUUGCUUGAUUACUCACUUAAUCAAAUCAAUCUACAGAUAUUUUCAUAAUUAUCUUCAAAAAGAAUAAAUAAAUACGUAAAAACUCGUAACAUAAUUUAUCGAGCCUUCUAAAAGAUAGGUGGAGAAAAAAGAAGGCAGGAUGGAACCAGAUAUCAAAACAUGCAUGAGGGUGGAGAAAAAUGCUUAUGAGUUUGUCACAUCAUCAAUAGAUUGAGAACGGUUCAAAGUUGGCAAGUGGGCAAGUGGCUCUGAGGAUUGAGGGAUUAUGGUGAAACAUGUUUAUUUAAGUUACUUUAUUCACAUUAGGUGCCAUAUAUGUGAAGAAUAUCAUAGUUCAAUACGUUUUAAGGAGUAGUUUGUUUCUAUUAAAACUUAGAAAUGAACAUAAGGAUUCAAGAAUGGUAUACCAUAUGUAGCCAACAGAGCUUUAUUGACAAUAAUUAUUCCAAUAAAAGUAACAAUAUUGAACAUCCAUAAUGUAAUGAUACUUGAUACCGUUUUGAGCUUUUACCUUUGUUCUUAUCAUUUUUCUAUGUUUUUUUUUUUUUUUUCCCUUUUCCAGUGGCGUUUGUACCUAUUAUCAAUCCUAUAAAUUGUCCAUGGGUCAAAAAGCUUUCACAAGUUACUUAGGUGAAAAUAAAGCUGCGUGGCAAGUAUAAUCUUUGAUUGGCUAUGAACAUGGUUGGGUAAACAUGUAAGCUACUUAUUUUGAUCCUGAGAUGAAUCGUAAAGAGUUAUUCAAAAUAAGUAACUUUAUUUACUUAAAGAAGUUACUUUUACUUAUUUUUCAGCUUUGAAUUUGUAUUUGUGUUAUUCAGUGUUUGAUCGAAUAAUAAUGGACAACGCAUGGUUGCAAUUAUCAAGAUUAUUAUUUGAAAUAAGAUCUUGUGAAUCUACUUACAAAAUUUAAACAUUUUAACAUAAAAUGAUCAUAACAUUUUACUUAUAGGUUUUCAGAACAAUAUAGAGAUGGAGCACAGAAUUUUGAUGAACUAGCUCGUGAAAAUCUAUGUUCAGAAAUGAUAGGAUGCCCUUGUGUUAAGUGUAGGAAUCUAAAGCACCAUCAUUAUGAAACAAUGUACGAACAUUUGGUUAUUGAGCCCCUCAUUUGGACCCCAUUCUCCUAAUCAUUCUUUUUCUCUCUCUUAUUUUCAACUACACAAUCUUCCAUCAAAUAAUAUUACACGCAAAUAAAAAACUUUUCACUAUUUUUCGACCACACAUUUUUCAAAAAAAUAUUAUUCCAACCACUAAAAUUUGGAAGGAAUGGGGGCCAAACGAAGGCUAAGGGAAUGGAUCCUACGUACACUGUUUGGAUAUUUCAUGGAAAACUACCAUAUUAAUUAAAUUCAGUUGAUUUGGAAAUGCCUGAGUCACGUAGAAUGUUUAGGGACUUCUAUGUACAAUAUGAUGUAUAUCUUGAAAACCCUAUUGAUGGAAGAGAUGGAGAGAUACAAAGUUUGGUUGACGAUGCUAAGACAGCUUUGUAUCUUGGUUGUAUGACAUUUACGAAGAUGUCAACUUUGAUUGCAUUGCUUAAACAUAAAGCUACACAUGGUUUAUCAGAUAGUGAUUUCGAUGAACAUAUAAAUUUCAUUCAGGGACAUGUUGCCAGAAAAUAAUAAACUUCCUAACUCAUUUUAUGAGAUAAAAAAACUUGUCAAUGCCUUUGACCUCGGCUAUGAGAAGAUACAUGCUUGCUUGAUGAUUGUUGUCUAUAUAGAAAGGAGCUUGAACAUGCUGAAUUCUGUCCAAAAUGUGAUUGCUCAAGAUGGAAAGUUAACCAACAGACUAAAAAAAUUCAAAAAAAAAAAAAAAGCACCUAAAGUCUUGUGUUAUUUCUCUAUAAUACCAAGACUUGGGAGGAUGUUUGGAAUAGAUGAGAUGGCGACACAACUUAGAUGGCAUUCAAAUCAUAAAAGUCCAGAUGGUAAAAUCAGGCAUCCAAUUGACUUAUUAAGUUGGGAAAUGAUAAAUAGAAGAUGGCCACAUUUUGCAUCAGAUCCUCAAAAUAUUAUACUAAGUCUUGCAACUAAUGGAUUUAAUCCUUUCAAAGAUUUUAGUUCUAAAUAUAGUUGUUGGUCAGUAACUUUAACUAUAUAUAAUUUGCCUUCCUCAUUAUGCAUGUCGAAAGAAUGUUUGAUGUUGGGCUUAUUGAUCCCAGGACCAAAGCAGUUAGGUAAUGACAUAAAUGUUUAUUUGGCACCAAUUGUAGACGACUUAAUAUUGUUAUAGAGUGACGGGGUUGAGAUAUAUGAUGCAGUCAUGAAACCUACAUUCAAUUUAAAAGCUAUUUUAAUGUGGACAAUACAUGACUUUCCUGCAUAUGGAAAUGUAUCUGGAUGACCCGUUAAGAGAAAAAUUGCAUGCCGUAUUUGUCAUGAAAAUACAUGUUCCCUAUGGCUGUUACGUGGUAGGAAGUUUGCGUACAUGUGACAUAUAAAAUUUCUCGACUUGAGUCAUCUAUUUCGUAUGAAAAAGA
rnacentral:lncRNA from 1 species